AUGGGAAAAAAUUGAACUGAAAAAUAUAUUUAUGAUAAAGAUUUGAAGGUUAGAGAGAAAUAUGUUUUUUUUUGGUUUUUUUUUGUACGGGUGUAAACCCUUUGUAACUUGUUUUGUUUUUCUUUUCUUUUUUUACUUGGAUUGAUGAUAUAUAAUGGAUGUAUGGUUUUAUAUAGUCAGUACAAACUUAACAAGACAAAAUAUAUUUAUUUUAUCAUCUUAUCACAAACUAACUUUAUUUAAUUUUGGUGGCUUGAUGAUGGAGAUUGUUGGUGGCUAUAAGUGGAUUGUGUUAGUGGCUUGUUGAUUCAAAAAUAAAUGAGUGAAAG
rnacentral:lncRNA from 1 species